GUCACUUUUUGCAUCGUGUAUUAGUGCAUAUAACAUUACCACUUUGCAUUGUGUCUGUGGUUACAUCAUUACCACCUUGCAUUAAGUAUACAUAGAUACGUUACACCUUGUGUCGGUGGAUAUAACAUUGUCACGUGGUAUUAUAAAUCCAUUGAUAUAACAUGUAAACCUGCAGUAAUAUAAUAAUCAACUGCACAUGGCCUUUCAGCAAAACAGUGUCCAAUAAUGUCAAGGUCGUGGCAUCUCACUGUACGGCAAUUGUCUGGGUUAUGAUCUGUACAGUUUGUACAGUUUCUCAAUGUGGUGGUGUCGUGGUAACUGUCUUUGUCAUCAAAUUUAACUGUGCGAAAUAUUUGAGUGUUAUUAUGGUAAUUUGUCGGGAUCAUGAUGUUUAACUUACACAAUUUGAUAUUAUGAUAUCCAACUGCUCAAAACUUUCUUGUCAGUGUCAUCAUAUUCAAGUGUACAUAACAAGGCACUAGUAUGACAUGUGGGUUUUAAAAACACGCCCGGGGGUACAUCACCUAGUUGCUCUUAUCUUAAAAUUAAUAUAAUUAAAUAAUUUAAUAUUAAUUUUCUAUAGUGACAGUGCUUCCUUCAGCAGCUUUGUUUGUUUGUUUAUUUUGUUUGUUGUAACAUCCUGGCUUGUCAUGAGUAUUUUAUCUUGAAGGAAUAGGACGAUGGUAAAUGUGUUGUAUCCGGAAUUGGUAUCGGAACAUCUCGCAGAUCAACUUUGUUUUCACGGGAAUAGAAGCAUGGUCACAGGAGCCAAGCUUGUCCAACGAAAUAGCAGUCAUCGUAAAACUUCCCCACGAGCUAACAACCACAGGGAACAAGGGACACUAAGGGAACACAAUAAAUCCUUUACUUUGCUAA